rnacentral:rRNA from 1 species
AGCGAACGCUGGCGGCAGGCUUAACACAUGCAAGUCGAGCGGGCAUCUUCGGAUGUCAGCGGCAGACGGGUGAGUAACACGUGGGAACGUACCCUUCGGUUCGGAACAACUCUGGGAAACUGGAGCUAAUACCGGAUACGCCCUUAUGGGGAAAGGUUUACUGCCGAAGGAUCGGCCCGCGUCUGAUUAGCUAGUUGGUGGGGUAACGGCCUACCAAGGCGACGAUCAGUAGCUGGUCUGAGAGGAUGAUCAGCCACACUGGGACUGAGACACGGCCCAGACUCCUACGGGAGGCAGCAGUGGGGAAUAUUGGACAAUGGGCGCAAGCCUGAUCCAGCCAUGCCGCGUGAGUGAAGAAGGCCUUAGGGUUGUAAAGCUCUUUUGUCCGGGACGAUAAUGACGGUACCGGAAGAAUAAGCCCCGGCUAACUUCGUG